rnacentral:rRNA from 1 species
AUUGAACGCUAGCGGGAUGCUUUACACAUGCAAGUCGAACGGCAGCGCGGACUUCGGUCUGGCGGCGAGUGGCGAACGGGUGAGUAAUAUAUCGGAACGUACCCAGUAGCGGGGGAUAACUACUCGAAAGAGUGGCUAAUACCGCAUACGUCCUACGGGAGAAAGCAGGGGGACCUUCGGGCCUUGCACUAUUGGAGCGGCCGAUAUCGGAUUAGCUAGUUGGUGGGGUAAAGGGCCGUACCAAGGCGACG